UACAGAGGUCUCAAGCGUUGUUCGGAUUCAUUGGGCGGAAAGGGUGCGUAGGUGGCGCUGUAAGUCGGGUGUGAAAUUUCGGAGCUUAACUCCGAAACUGCAUUCGAUACUGCGGUGCUUGAGGACUGGAGAGGAGACUGGAAUUCAUGGUGUAGCAGUGAAAUGCGUAGAGAUCAUGAGGAAGACCAGUGGCGAAGGCGGGUCUCUGGACAGUUCCUGACACUGAGGCACGAAGGCCAGGGGAGCAAACGGG
rnacentral:rRNA from 1 species